CAAAAACAUCCUCUCCCUCCAUACCUGCCCCCGGCCGCGACCUUGUCCCCUCUCCAUGCUCCGACGCUUUUUGCAGGAAGGCCAGGUUUCCUGUGUGAUGGAGGAGAGGGGGAUGAGGGAGACGGGAAGAGGGAUGUGACGGCUGGACUUGUGCACGUAGAGAUUGUACAGAUUGACUUUAUGUUUUAGCUGUGUGUGGAUGUUGUUGUGUUAUGUCGUUUUCUGUGCAGGUGCAGCUUGAUGAGAUCCAUGAAGACAAGAUGCAGCAGUGGAGGAGGUGGAGGAAAGACAAUGGGACUAAGAACCAGAGCAGCCUUCUUCUACAUGGACAAACAUAUUGCAGGAGAAGAGGAGGAUGGGGGGAGAAUAGUGGAGGGGAGUGGAGUCUUCUACAUACACAACCCUCUACACAGCAGUGUCUUAUUUCCUGGAAUACUCACCCACUGAAUGUGGCCCUGGCUCAAAUCACAAGACUUACUUCACUUCAGAGAAUGAGUUUGCUGUUUCCUGUCUUUGGAUGGACCCUCAUCUUAUUGGCUACCGAAAAGGGGUGUGGUGUUGUGGAGCAAACUAAUGAGAGAGAACAGUGGUUUGCCUCUGAUUCUGUAACUUUUACUAACAGUGUCAAUAGUUGUUGACCAUUGCUUUGCAGUUCCAUUGUCAUAUUCUUUAGCUAACAGUCCUCUUUCUUUUAUAGUAGUGUGUGCGUGUGUGUGUGUGCAUGCUUGCGUUGUUUGUUCGUUUGUGCGUGUGUGUGUGUGCAUGCUUGCGUUGUUUGUUCGUUUGUGCGUGUGUGUGUGUGCAUGCUUGCGUUGUUUGUUCGUUUGUGCGUGUGUAUUUGUGUGUCUGUUUGUGAGUGUGUGUGUUUUAGCUAUGUCUGUAUGUAGGGCGUUGGUAGGGGUAUUUUGGGCAGUACUGCUGUGGCCCCCUACUCACACCUGUUACACAGUGAGUUGCUGAUCUAGGUGAUACAGGAGACACAGAUUAAAGCUGUGUGUGUUGUGUCUGAGUGUGUAUGUGUGCAUCUCCUGGGCUGUGUGUGGUGUGCCUCUAGCAUUUGUUCGUCAUACCGCUCAGUGAGUCAGCAUCUCCGUUUCCUUUCCUGAGUCACUCAUUUAACGGUUGCCCGGUGACCACAGAACGGAAAAAGGUUCCUAUUGCGUGUUCGCCUGCGAGGACGGCCACCAAUAUUUAUUCAGGCCUUGCAGUAAGUGGCCAGGAGAAAAUUAUAAAUAUAAAUUCUCCAAUGAUUGCCUGGGUGCCAUGUCAUUGGAUGGAAAGCACACUUAGUAAUCCGUUUUAACAUUCCUCAUUUUGAAGGAGAUAUACUGUUGCUAUGGCUCAUCGUAAAAGGAGACAAUGGAUGUCUCAAUAGAUGCUUAGUUUUAUGUUGAAGUAUAACAUAAAAUGAACUACAUUUUAUGUGAAAGAAUCACCUUUUUCUCCAUGCAGGCAUGAAGACUUUCAGUGCUGUCUCUCCUCAGGUGAGAGGGUCCCCCAGGCAAGUCUUUUCACCACCCAUUGCAACCUUGCCAUCCCCCAGCCCUGCAUCAUCAGAAAGGGACGAACCAGGACAUGGGAGGAAGGUGUCUUUCUUUGAUGAUGUCACUGUCAAUGUGUUGGAUCAGGCACACAGACUUUCGCCCCCUGCAUCUCUGUCUUUUCUUCAUGCGAAUGACAGGGAUUUGGGCCUGGUCUCCGGGAAGCAGUAUAUCCUCCUCGUCGGACUCAUUUAAGAAAAAGUCUUUGUCCAGUUCGAGGAUCCACCGCUGGGGAUAAGAAGACUAAGUGUUGUCAUGACUGUCCUGACCAGGUCAGGUUACAGGAGACCACAACCCUACAGAUUAUCUCUCAACCCCAACAGAGGAGGAGAGAUCUAGGGGUCUGAAGAUGUGGGGGUUUUAUGAACCCUCACGCACCUGGAUCCGCCGCUGGGAAAGGAAGACUAAGUGUGUUUGCUGAAUGAAGACAAACACCCAAAUAAACAGAAGAGCUCAACAGUGGGACCUUGCUGUUUCACCACUAGUGAACACUACACAUUCUCCCGUUACAAUUUAUAGACCAGGGGUCCAACUACAGCGGUGUAAACCAUCCCUUUUCAAGUUACUGUACCACCAAGAGUCAGUUGUUGACCUUUCAGGGCUAUGUUUGCCUGUAUCCCAAUAAGAAUGAGUCUAGAACACAUUAACAGUAACAGAGGGUCUGAUGACCACAACAUAACAACAAGGAUAAGUCUAGAACACAUUAACAGUAACAGAGGGGUCUGAUGACCACAACAUAACACACACACACUGAGAUGUGAAUGCAAAUAGAAAAAUAAACAGUUAAAAUAGAUUAACCAACAUAAAAAAUCAUGUUAUAUCCCUCUGACAAUUAAUGGGCAGGUGCAACAAGUGGACUGACAUGUGGAAAGCCUCUACUUGAUUUUGACAAAGUGCAGUUUUAGCCCUGUUUAUACCUGCUUCUAACAAUCUUGAGCAUGUCCACAUUCUCAUUGUGAUCUAAUUGUGAUAUUAUCUUCCUGACCACCUCCAGAGCGGUUUUUCAAAUAAUUUGCAUAAUUUGCAUACAGGGAGGGACCAUGAUAUCUGGUCACAAUGUGGACACAGUGGACGGAGAAGAGACACAUUUAUGCAGUGGCAUAAAGUACUAAAGUAAAAAAUACUUUAAAGUACUACAUCAGUCGUUUUUUGGGGGUAUCUGUACUUUACAAUUUAUAUUUUUGACAGCUUUUACUUUUACUUCAUUUUAUUCCUAAUGAAAAUACUGUACUUUUUACUCCAUACAUUUUCUCUGACACCCAAAAGUACUCGUUACAUUCUGAAUACUUAGAAGGACAGGAAAAUGGUUAUCCCUACUGCCUCUGAUCUGGCGGAUUCACUAAACACAAAUGCUUCAUUUGUAAAUGAUGUCUGAGUGCUGGAGCUGGAGUAAAGAGUAAGAGUAAAUAAAUAAUCAGUAAAUCAAAAUAAAAUAAAAACGAUUUUGCCAUCUG